rnacentral:rRNA from 1 species
UCUAAGUACCCUCAGGAAGAGAAAACAAUAGUGAUUCCGUCAGUAGCGGCGAGCGAACGCGGAACAGCCUAAACCAGAGAGCUUGCUCUCUGGGGUUGUGGGACGUCUCACAUGGAGUUACAAAGGAACCGGUUAAACGAAGAGGUCUGGAAAGGCCCGCCAUAGAAGGUAAAAGCCCUGUAAUUGAAAGUCUGUUCCCUCCGAGACGGAUCCCGAGUAGUGCGGGGCACGUGAAAUCCCGUAUG